AUCCAUCUGACGAGUCCCAAAAGGACGAAACGCGCGUCCUGGAU
rnacentral:hammerhead_ribozyme from 1 species